rnacentral:rRNA from 1 species
AUUGAACGCUGGCGGCAGGCCUAACACAUGCAAGUCGAACGGUAACAGGGAUCAGCUUGCUGAUUCGCUGACGAGUGGCGGACGGGUGAGUAAUGUUUGGGAAACUGCCUGAUGGAGGGGGAUAACUACUGGAAACGGUAGCUAAUACCGCAUAACGUCGCAAGACCAAAGAGGGGGACCUUCGGGCCUCUUGCCAUCGGAUGUGCCCAGAUGGGAUUAGCUAGUAGGUGGGGUAACGGCUCACCUAGGCGACGAUCCCUAGCUGGUCUGAGAGGAUGACCAGCCACACUGGAACUGAGACACGGUCCAGACUCCUACGGGAGGCAGCAGUGGGGAAUAUUGCACAAUGGGCGCAAGCCUGAUGCAGCCAUGCCGCGUGUAUGAAGAAGGCCUUCGGGUUGUAAAGUACUUUCAGCGGGGAGGAAGGGAGUAAAGUUAAUACCUUUGCUCAUUGACGUUACCCGCAGAAGAAGCACCGGCUAACUCCGUG